AACGAACGCUGGCGGCGUGGAUAAGACAUGCAAGUCGAACGACUAUUUCAAUGUAGCAAUACAGUGGAGUGGGAGUGGCGCAAGGGUGCGUAACACGUGGGCAAUCUGCCGCGAAGACCGGGACAACCUGCUGAAAGGCGAGCUAAUACCGGAUGUGAAAAUGAGAAGGCAUCUUUUUAUUUCUAAGUGGGACCGCAAGGCCUGACACUUCGCGAUGAGCCCGCCGGCCUAUCAGCUAGUUGGUGAGGUAACGGCUCACCAAGGCUAAGACGGGUAGGCUGGUCUGAGAGGACGACCAGCCACACUGGAACUGAGACACGGUCCAGACACCUACGGGUGGCAGCAGUCGAGAAUUUUUCUUCAAUGGGCGAAAGCCUGAAGGAGCGACGCCGCGUGGGGGAUGAAGGGCUU
rnacentral:rRNA from 1 species